rnacentral:lncRNA from 1 species
AUGUGUGUCUCUGUGUGUCUCUGUGUGUAUCUCAUGUGUGUGUCUCUGUGUGUCUGUGUCUCUGUGUGUGUGUCUGUGUGUGUCUCUGUGUGUGUCUGUGUGUGUGUCAUGUGUGUGUCUGGCCUGUCUCUGUGUGUGUCUGUGUCUCUGUGUGUGUGUCUGUGUCUGUGUGUGUGUCUCUGUGUGUGUGUCUGUGUGUCUGUGUGCUGUGUCUGUGUCUCUGUGUGUGUGUCUGUGUGUGUCUGUGUGUGUCUGGUGUCUCUGUGUGUGUGUCUGUGUGUGUGUCUCUGUGUGUGUCUGUGUCUCUGUGUGUGUCUGUGUGUGUGUCUGUGUGUGUGUGUCUGUGUCUCUGUGGUAUUAGGUCUGUGUGUGUCUGUGUGUGGUCUGUGUGUCUGUGUGUCUGUGUGUGUGUCUGUGUGUGUGUGUGUCUCUGUGUGUGUGUCUGUGUCUCUGUGUGUGUCUGUGUGUGUGUGUCUGUGUCUCUGUGUGUCUGGUCUGUGUGUGUGUGUCUCUGUGUAUGUCUGUAUCUCUGUGUGUGUCUCUGUGUGUCUGUGUGUGUCUGUGUGUCUGUGUGUGUGUCUCUGUGUGUGUCUGUGUGUGUCUGUGUGUGUCUGUGUGUGUGUGUCUCUGUGUGUGUGUCUGUGUGUAUCUGUGUAUAUGUCUGUGUCUCUGUGUGUGUCUGUGUGUACAUCUGUCUGUCUGUAUGUGUGUGUCUGUGUCUGUGUGUCUGUGUCUAUGUGUGUGUCUCUGUGUAUCUGUGUGUAUGUCUGUGUCUCUCUGUGGUUGUAUGUGUGUCUGUGUGUGUGUCUGUGUAUGUGUCUGUGUCUCUGUGUGUGUGUCUGUGUCUAUGUCGCUGUGUGUGUGUCUGUGUGUGUGUGUCUGUGUCUAUGUGUAUGUCUGUGUCUGUGUGUGUCUCUGUGUGUGUAUGUGUGUGUCUGUGUGUGUGUGUCUGUGUCUCUGUGUGUGUAUCUCUGUGUGUGUGUCUCUGUGUGUGUCUGUAUGCCUCUGUGUGUGUUUGUCUGUGUGUCUGUCUAUGUGUGUGUGUCUGUGUCUCUGUGUGUGUGUUCCUGUGAGUGUCUCUCUGUAUGUGUCUCUAUGUGUGUGUCUGUGUCUUUGUUUCUGUGUAUGUCUGUCUGUGUGUAUGUCUGUGUGUGUCGUGUGUGUCUCUGUGUAUCUGUGUGUGUAUGUCUGUCUGUGUGUGUGUGUGUCUGUGUGUGUGUCUCUGUGUCUUAUCGUUCCUUUCAGCACACACCCAUCUCUGCCUCUGCUCUGAGUAUUAGACAACCCAGGGUGCGAUGA